GCGUAGCUCAGUCGGUAGAGCAACUGACUUUUAAUCAGUAGGUCCAGGGUUCGAAUCCCUGCG
rnacentral:tRNA from 1 species